rnacentral:lncRNA from 1 species
CAGACGCUGCUGCUUGCCAUGCUGGGCACAGGGGCGCCUGGCCAGUAUGUCACCGUGGGUGGCUCACCUGGCAGUCUUGCAACUCUCCAUCGCCUGCUGCUGGGCUUUUAGCUGCCACAAGACGUGGUUCUCCCCUGACUUCAGCCUCCCAGGGGAUUUCCUCCUUGCAGGCCUAUUCCCUCUCCAUACUGACUGUCUGCAGGUGAGACGCAGACCCCAGGUGACCCUGUGUGACAGGUAAGUGAGGGACCAGCAGAGCUGUCA